rnacentral:rRNA from 1 species
GAUGAACGCUGGCGGCGUGCUUAACACAUGCAAGUCGAACGGGAUCCAAGGGGUGCUUGCACUUUUUGGUGAGAGUGGCGAACGGGUGAGUAACACGUGAGUAACCUGUCCUUUUCUUUGGGAUAAGCAUUCGAAAGGGUGUUUAAUACCUUAUGUUCUGUCUGCCUCGCAUGGGGUGGGUGGGAAAGGCUUUGGCCGGAUUUGGGUGGGCUCGCGGUCUAUCAGCGUGUUGGUGGGGUGAUGGCUUACCAAGGCUUUGACGGGUAGCCGGCCUGCGAGGGUAGUCGGUCACAGUGGGGCUGAGAUACGGCCCAGACUCCUGCGGGAGGCAGCAGUGGGGGAUAUUGCACAAUGGGCGAAAGCCUGAUGCAGCGACGCCGCGUGGGGGAUGAAGGCCUUCGGGUUGUAAACUUCUUUUGCUCUGAACAAGGCAUGCCAGUGGGUGUGUUGAGUGUAGGGGUUGAUUAGCGCCGGCUAACUACGUG